rnacentral:rRNA from 1 species
AGGACGAACGCUGGCGGCGUGCUUAACACAUGCAAGUCGAGCGGAAAGGCCCUUCGGGGUACUCGAGCGGCGAACGGGUGAGUAACACGUGAGCAACCUGCCCUUAGCUCCGGGAUAGCUCCGGGAAACCGGAAUUAAUACCGGAUACAACCACGGCCGACAUCUGCUGUGGUGGAAAGGAUUCCGGCUAAGGAUGGGCUCGCGGCCUAUCAGCUAGUUGGUGGAGUAACGGCCCACCAGGGCGACGACGGGUA